GAUGAACGCUGGCGGCGUGCCUAAUACAUGCGAGUCGAGCGAACAGACGAGGAGCUUGCUCCUCUGACGUUAGCGGCGGACGGGUGAGUAACACGUGGAUAACCUACCUAUAAGACUGGGAUAACUUCGGGAAACCGGAGCUAAUACCGGAUAAUAUAUUGAACCGCAUGGUUCAAUAGUGAAAGACGGUUUUGCUGUCACUUAUAGAUGGAUCCGCGCCGCAUUAGCUAGUUGGUAAGGUAACGGCUUACCAAGGCGACGAUGCGUAGCCGACCUGAGAGGGUGAUCGGCCACACUGGAACUGAGACACGGUCCAGACUCCUACGGGAGGCAGCAGUAGGGAAUCUUCCGCAAUGGGCGAAAGCCUGACGGAGCCACGCCGCGUGAGUGAUGAAGGUCUUCGGAUCGUAAAACUCUGUUAUUAGGGAAGAACAAAUGUGUAAGUAACUAUGCACGUCUUGACGGUACCUAAUCAGAAAGCCACGGCUAACUACGUG
rnacentral:rRNA from 1 species